AUGGGAAAGGAUAAGACCCACAUCAACAUCGUGGUCAUCGGCCAUGUCGACUCCGGCAAGUCCACCACCACCGGCCACCUGAUCUACAAGUGCGGAGGAAUCGACAAGAGAACCAUCGAGAAGUUCGAGAAGGAAGCUGCUGAGGUUAGUCACAGUGUCGCAACAGGUCUCGGUUAACACUUUGGACAAAUAUUCUCAUUUGCAUCGGCAGCUUUGUGACACAAAGAGGCCCUGCAUCACUCAGCCCCUGAAGUAACAGGUUCUGACAAAGGGUGUGGCGGCUGUAACUGUUCCCAAUUUUUGCUUUCUAACUACUGCCACCUGCUGUUCAAACAUGUGUGCAACCACCAUCAAAGAUAUGCUACAGCAUGGUGUUUGGUGAUUUUUACUUCCUUUUUAACAAAAAAAGAGCAGAACAAAAUAGACCCCUGCUUAUUCAUUAAGUAAAUCGAUACUUCCUGAUUGUUGAGUGUUUUGUGGUAUAAAAAACUAUUACAUGUACAAAAUAUAAUCAGUACCAGACUUGUAUUCAUGUUUAAAGUUUGUGAUUCUUAUGCUUUCAUUUUUAAAUUAGUUUGUAUAAAGCUUAACUUUCUUUAUCACCAUAGAUGGGUAAGGGCUCCUUCAAGUACGCCUGGGUGCUGGACAAACUGAAGGCCGAGCGUGAGCGUGGUAUCACCAUCGAUAUCGCUCUGUGGAAGUUUGAGAGCAGUAAGUACUACGUGACCAUCAUUGACGCCCCUGGACACAGAGACUUCAUCAAGAACAUGAUCACUGGAACCUCUCAGGUAGGACAUGCCUGCUGUUGUGUCUGCUCGCUACGAGCUUUUCACAUUAAAGUUUUGUUCUUUGUAACACGUGAGAAAAUUGAGAUUUUACUCUCAACCACAGCAGACAUAUCAACCUGAAGCUGAAUCCAAAUGAAUACCUAGUUUAGUGAGAAAAAGGACGAUAAAUGCUUCUUUUUAAUCCUUGUGAGCGCUUGUCUUUUUUCCGCUUCCUCUACAUCUACAGCCCGAUACAAGAUAUGUCAAUUAUGCCUGUGUCAUUAUUUUAAGUAUCAUGACAGAUAAUUCAUUACUAAGAUAAUCAGAGCAUUGUUAAGCAAAUAAAGGCAUGUAGUAUUAUAGUCUUACCAUCUAUUCAGCACCAACAGAAGAACAUGAUGUGACUGUUUCACUAGAUUUUACAAGUGUCACUGAUAGAGAAAAGGUUCCUAAUGAAGAGAAAGAAUAAAGUAGAUCUGAAGACCAAAUAUAGAAACAAAACCUAUUUAAACUGUGACAUAUGGAACAUUUCCUCCCUGUUUAGGCUGACUGCGCCGUGCUGAUUGUUGCUGCUGGUACUGGUGAGUUUGAAGCUGGUAUCUCCAAGAACGGUCAGACCCGUGAGCACGCCCUGCUGGCCUUCACCCUCGGUGUGAAGCAGCUCAUUAUUGGAGUCAACAAGAUGGACUCCACUGAGCCCCCGUACAGCCAGACCCGUUUUGACGAAAUCACCAAGGAAGUGAGCACCUACAUCAAGAAGAUCGGAUACAACCCCAAGACUGUUGCCUUUGUUCCCAUCUCUGGAUGGCACGGAGACAACAUGCUGGAGCCCAGUGACAAGGUGAGGCGAUUUUACCCCUCUCUUUGACGUACGCAGAGGAUUGAUAUGGAUGUGUUUUAAAACAUAAUUUAUAUUCGUGUGUAGAUGGCUUGGUUCAAGGGAUGGGAAAUUGAGCGCAAGGAGGGCAAUGCCAACGGGAAAACCCUACUGGAGGCUCUUGAUUCCAUCCUGCCCCCAAAACGCCCCACAGAAAAGCCCCUGCGUGUGCCAUUGCAGGACGUCUACAAAAUCGGAGGUAAGGAGUCAAGGAUUCAGCUUCACGAACAUCAUAUUACUUAACACACUGAGUAUGUGCAACAAGAUCAGGGUUCACGAUUUGAAAAAAAGUGACCAGACAAACAUGGAGGGGAUAACUCUCUCAGGAAGCUCCAGCUUUAGUGAGGCCACUCUGUUAUCAACCAGCCUGAUCCUCAUAGAGUUUUUGUAUUCAUCAAAACAAAGGUGAAAGUUGGCAGAGAUUUCCCCAGCCUCACUAGGCCUACCGACACGAUGUACAAGAGGACAAAUCCUGUAGCUACUCAAAGAAUGUACUAGAAACAGUUUUUGCUCACUCUCAGGUAUUGGAACUGUCCCCGUCGGCCGUGUUGAGACUGGUAUCCUGAAGCCCGGCAUGGUCGUCACCUUUGCUCCCCCCAUGCUGACCACUGAGGUGAAGUCUGUGGAGAUGCACCACGAGGCUCUGCCAGAAGCUCUGCCUGGUGACAACGUCGGGUUCAAUGUCAAGAACGUGUCCGUCAAGGAAAUCCGCCGUGGAAACGUGGCUGGGGACAGCAAGAACGACCCUCCCAAGGGAGUAGACAACUUCAUUGCCCAGGUGAGUCAAUAGGAAAGGACAAGGUGGAAACUUCAGCUUAAAAGUUAAAAAAACAUCAAUUCUCUUUUAUUAAAUGUUAUGAUGAGUAGAUCAGAGAAUGCAAAAGAAGUUAUGUUUUUGGAGGUCAUUUUGGGCCCAUACAGUGAUCUCCAUUGCAGAGUCUCAUCAGUUUUUUUGUCACCUGAGAGCCCGAAGAUUACAGUUUUGAAAACUGUCAUAUUUUCAAAUACGACAGCUGAGAUCACUCUCCCUAUUCUCGCCAUCACAUAACUCAGUAAUUUUCCCGGAUAUGUUUCAAUGUCCGAUUUUUUUACCUCUGCUCUUUGUUUCUCAUCCUCUCUCUUCCCUUGCAGGUCAUCAUCCUGAACCAUCCCGGACAGAUUCAUGCAGGUUACGCUCCUGUGCUUGACUGCCACACUGCUCACAUUGCCUGCAAGUUUCAGGAGCUCCUAGAAAAGGUGGACCGUCGCUCUGGCAAGAAGCUCGAGGACAACCCAAAAUGUGUCAAAUCUGGAGAUGCUGCCAUGAUUGUCUUGUCUCCCAGUAAACCCAUGGUUGUGGAGGCCUUCUCUGAAUAUGCUCCAUUAGGUGAGUGAAACUUACUUGAAUAAAACAUGCUUUGUGACUUUUUCGAAUGAAGAGACAUUUAUUGUUACACUGACUGACUCUCUUUCUCCCAGGUCGCUUUGCUGUGCGUGACAUGAAACAGACAGUGGCUGUCGGUGUCAUCAAGUCUGUUGUGAAGAAGGAACACGCUAGUGGAAAGACGACCAAGGCUGCAGAGAAGGCCCAGAAGAAGAAGUGAAUUUUCAUGCAGGAUGCCCACCGAAAGGUUGCAUCUCAGCAGCAGCAGCAGUUUGCCCCAUCCCCACAUCACCUUUACCGCCCAGCACAGUCUUUUCUGAAGCAGAGCUCUCUACUCAAGGACUGGCUUAUGCUGAUUAAAACUCAUCGGAAGAGUUUCCGCAGGAAAGGAAGGAUGGGGCUUUGUGGGGAAAACUAUGAUCAUGAUUAACUUCAAACCAAAACAAUAAAAAUCUUAAUAAAUUGCUGCCUAAGAUUGUGUUUCAUUACCUAACAGGGUCUCAUUGAUUUAAAACACCCAACAACACAAAUUAGUUAUGUUUGGUCAAACCAAACACUGUUAGGGUAAGGGCUGUCUGAGACUUGUGUCUGUCUUGGAGCUCACAGCUUCACUUCUAAAAACAGAGGAAACACAGAAGGCCUCUCACAGCCGCUGAACACAGAAAGCAUUUGGUAUUAAACUCGAAGGUUCUCUCAUACAUGCUACAUUAAGAAAUAGAAAAAAUGUACUGAUUCAAUGUGUUUUGAUGGAGCUCAUCACGAAUCGACACAACACUGCCCAGCAGAGGGCGCUCAUGUUACACAACAACAUACAAAACUUAGCACUUCCACUGAAAUGCUAAUGACGAGCAUUCACACUAUUAUAAAAGCUCAUUUUUGACGAGUAAAUGGGAUAAAUUAUGAAAAAGAAUGGUGCUUAUUGAAUUUAGCAUUUAAAAGGGACUAGACCAGACCUCAGCGUGAAGCAGAGAAGUCUUUUCUCACUCUGAUAGGAUUUAAUUUUCCGUAACUGUCUGUUCACUGUGUAUUCCCUUGCUUCUUACCCGGCUAACAACUGAAGUCAAACAUGAACUGAUACAAAACAUUGUCUCAAAGGGAUAUUCGGGCAUAGAAUUAAUUUUGGGUCAAACACAGCGUAACACCAAGUAAGACACCCCCUUCACCACCAACACACCACACCAACUUCAGUAAUGACCGCACGAUAGCAAUACACAGCGGUCUGAGGAGCCAUAAACAAACCUCGACC